rnacentral:rRNA from 1 species
GAUGAACGCUGGCGGCGUGCCUAAUACAUGCAAGUCGAGCGAACAGACGAGGAGCUUGCUCCUCUGACGUUAGCCGCGGACGGGUGAGUAACACGUGGAUAACCUACCUAUAAGACUGGGAUCACUUCGGGACACCGGAGCUUAUCCCGUAUAAUCUAUUGAACCGCAUUGUUCAAUAGUGAAAUACGGUUUUUCUGUCUCUUAUAGAUGGAUCUGGGCCUCAUUAGCUAGUUGUUAAGGUAACGGCUUUCCAAGGCAACGAUGCGUAGCCGACCUGAGAGGGUGAUAGGCCACACUGGAACUGAGACACGGUCCAGACUCCUACGGGAGGCAGCAGUAGGGAAUCGUCCGCAAUGGGCGAAAGCCUGACGGAGCAACGCCGCGUGAGUGAUGAAGGUCUUCGGAUCGUAAAACUCUGUUAUUAGGGAAGAACAAAUGUGUAAGUAACUAUGCACGGCUUGACGGUACCUAAUCAGAAAGCCACGGCUAACUACGUG